CCUACGGGGGGCAACAGUGGGGGAUAUUGCACAAUGGGGGGAACCCUGAUGCAGCGACGCCGCGUGGGGGAAGGAGGGUUUCGGCGUGUAAAGCCCUUUCGGCAGGGAAGAAGAUGACGGUACCUGGCCAAGAAGCCCCGGCUAACCACGUGCCAGCAGCCGCGGUAAUACGUAGGGGGCAAGCGUUAUUCGGAUUUACUGGGGGUAAAGGGGGGGUAGUCGGGAAUGCAAGUCAGGAGUGAAAGCCCGGGGCCCAACCCCGGGACUGCUUUUGGAACUGCAUGGCUGGAGUACAGGAGGGGCAUGCGGAAUUCCUAGUGUAGCGGUGAAAUGCGUAGAUAUUAGGAGGAACACCGGUGGCGAAGGCGGCCUGCUGGACUGUGACUGACGUUGAGGCCCGAAGGCGUGGGGAGCAAACAGGAUUAGAUACCCUUGUAGUC
rnacentral:rRNA from 1 species